rnacentral:rRNA from 1 species
AUUGAACGCUGGCGGCAUGCCUUACACAUGCAAAUCGAACGGUAACGGGCCUUCGGGUGCCGACGAGUGGCGAACGGGUGAGUAAUACAUCGGAACGUGCCCGAUCGUGGGGGAUAACGAGGCGAAAGCUUUGCUAAUACCUCAUACGAUCUACGGAUGAAAGCAGGGGACCGCAAGGCCUUGCGCGGACGGAGCGGCCGAUGGCAGAUUAGGUAGUUGGUGGGAUAAAAGCUUACCAAGCCGACGAUCUGUAGCUGGUCUGAGAGGAUGAUCAGCCACACUGGGACUGAGACACGGCCCAGACUCCUACGGGAGGCAGCAGUGGGGAAUUUUGGACAAUGGGCGCAAGCCUGAUCCAGCCAUGCCGCGUGCAGGAUGAAGGCCUUCGGGUUGUAAACUGAUUUUGUACGGAACGAAAAGCCUUCUUUUAAUACAGGAGGGUCAUGACGGUACCGUAAGAAUAAGCACCGGCUAACUACGUG